rnacentral:rRNA from 1 species
UACUCGAGUGGCGAACGGGUGAGUAACACGUGGGUGAUCUGCCCUGCACUCUGGGAUAAGCCUGGGAAACUGGGUCUAAUACCGGAUAGGACCAUGCUUUAGUGUGUGUGGUGGAAAGUUUUUUCGGUAUAGGAUGAGCCCGCGGCCUAUCAGCUUGUUGGUGGGGUAAUGGCCUACCAAGGCGGCUACGGGUAGCCGGACUGAGAGGUUGGUCGGCCACAUUGGGACUGAGAUACGGCCCAG